rnacentral:rRNA from 1 species
UGGGGAAUAUUGCGCAAUGGGGGAAACCCUGACGCAGCGACGCCGCGUGCGGGAUGAAGGCCUUCGGGUUGUAAACCGCUUUUGAUUGGGAGCAAGCUUUCGGGUGAGUGUACCUUUCGAAUAAGCGCCGGCUAACUACGUGCCAGAAGCCGCGGUAAUACGUAGGGCGCAAGCGUUAUCCGGAAUUAUUGGGCGUAAAGAGCUUGUAGGCGGUUCGUCGCGUCUGGUGUGAAAGCCCAUCGCUUAACGGUUGGUUUGCGCCGGGUCCGGGCGGGCUAUAGUGCAGUAGGGGCGACUGGAAUUCUCGGUGUAACGGUGGAAUGUGUAGAUAUCGGGAAGAACGCCAAUGGCGAAGGCAGGUCUCUGGGCUGUUACUGACGCUGAGAAGCGAAAGCGUGGGGAGCGAGCAGG